UAUGAGUUAGUGGCGGACGGGUGAGUAACGCGUGGAAAACCUGCCGUAUACUGGGGGAUAACACUUAGAAAUAGGUGCUAAUACCGCAUAAGCGCACAGGGCCGCAUGGCCCGGUGUGAAAAACUCCGGUGGUGUAAGAUGGACCCGCGUCUGAUUAGCUUGUUGGCGGGGUAGGGGCCCACCAAGGCGACGAUCAGUAGCCGGCCUGAGAGGGUGGACGGCCACAUUGGGACUGAGACACGGCCCAAACUCCUACGGGAGGCAGCAG
rnacentral:rRNA from 1 species